AUCGCUUCUCGGCCUUUUGGCUAAGAUCAAAGUGUAGUAUCUGUUCUUAUCAGGCUUAAUAUUGAUAACGUCCUCCAUUGGGGGACAGCGAUUUAAAAUUGAUUUUUUGAAAGGGGGUGAGGUGCCCGGGGGUUGCUCCGACCCCACAACGGUUGACCCGGUAUUGCAAACUUCCGGGAAUGGCCCACCACUU